rnacentral:rRNA from 1 species
AUUGAACGCUGGCGGCAGGCCUAACACAUGCAAGUCGAGCGAGAGGCGGACGGGUGAGUACUGUAUGGGGAUCUGCCCGAUAGAGGGGGAUAACUACUGGAAACGGUGGCUACUACCGCAUACUAUCGGAUGAACCCAGAUGGGAUUAGCUAGUAGGUGGGGUAAAGGCUCACCUAGGCGGCGAGUCCUAGCUGGUCUGCGAGGAUGAUGGGCCACACUUGGACUGAGACACGGCCCAGACUCCUACGGGGUGCAGCAUUGGUGAAUAUUGCACGUUGGGCUCAAGCCUGAUGCAGCCAUGCCGCGUGUAUGCGGAAGGCCUUAGGGUUGUAAAGCACUUUUAGCGGAGAGGCGUUACCCGCAGAAGACGCACCGGCUAACUCCGCGCCAGCAGCCGCGGUAAUAC